rnacentral:rRNA from 1 species
UACGGAGGGGGCAAGCGUUGUUCGGAAUUACUGGGCGUAAAGGGCGCGCAGGCGGCUGCUCAAGUCAGGCGUGAAAGGCCUGGGCUCAACCCGGGAAUUGCGCUUGAGACUGGGCUGGCUUGAGUGCGGGAGAGGAUGGUGGAAUUCCCAGUGUAGAGGUGAAAUUCGUAGAUAUUGGGAAGAACACCGGUGGCGAAGGCGGCUCACUGGCCCGGUACUGACGCUGAGGUGCGAAAGCGUGGGGAGCAAACAGG